AAAUAAUAACAGUUUAUUGGGUAUCUAGGUCAUUUCCACAUAAGAUAAAAUAUAAAAGGUUAACUACUAAGCAUAUAUUUAUCUGCCUUUGGUUUCUUAUAUCAAAGAGACUAAAAAGUGCUUAGGUUUAUUGAUAAAUGAGUUUUAUAUAUGCUGAGAAAUUUUCUAUGAGAAAACAUAUAUUUCUAAAAGAUCUGUAUACAAGGAAAGCAAAAUAUAUGUUUUCAGUAAAAAGAUAUAAAGAAUGGAAAUAUUUUUUAUCUUGAGUUGAGAAAGAUAAAUUUGUCCUAAAGUGCUGGGACAAAUUCUUAAUGUAAAAAAAGUAACCAAAGGUUUGUAAAAGUAAAACCCUAAAGAGAUUUAUGUAUGGUCAAGUUGACCAGGAUUAAAGUAAAUCCAAUUAAGUAAAUAAACUUAUAUGUCAAAAGUAAACUGGUACAAAAUUAAAACUUAGUUUCCUCUUUCUUAAAAGUAUAAUUUUCCUAAAUUUUUAAUCUGCUCUUAAUAAAAAGAUUAUAAAAAGUCUUUUGUUGACUAUUUUAACUCUGUUUCCCCUUGACUGUUUCUGUUGUCACUUUGAAUAGAUACCUGAACACGGUUUUACAGUGAACUUUGUUUCCUAUCUGAACAAAUGUUUUAAAGCUUUUAAGAUUUUUGACAAGCUUCCCCCCACACACAAAUAUUCAAGUCUUGAAUAAAAGCUUUCUUUUGACCUGGAAGAGGAGGGAAGGUUUCUCUGGGGAUUUUCAGAGGGCCCCUGGGACUUCUUGGAGAAAUUUACUCUCUUCCUAUAAGAAAAGAAUGUUAAACUAAUAAGGCUUAUUUUGUAUAUUAAAUUACACGAGAAGCGUUGUCAAAUAAAUAAUGAUAAACUUUCUUAAAUGGUAUUAUGUAAAUGAGUGUUAUUGAUAUAAACAUUUAAAAAAUUAUCUGAUCUGUUCUGAUUGUCAGCUAUAAUCCUGGUUAUUAUCUCAAAAUGUUGUGUAUCACAGACAUGGUCAAAUGCCUUUGUCAGUUACCAUUUUUUAAUGUUUUGUUAUUUAUGAACAGUGGCUAUUUUACUUUAAUGUUUUUGCAAAUAUGUUUCAUCUUCAGAGAAAUUCAUGGAAAGGACUCUGACACUCUAGAAUACAGGUUUCUAAUAAACGUUCAGAUUGUAAAACUAAACUGGGUAAAAAUUACAGAACUCCAACAGAGAAACUGAUGACCUCACAAACUGCUGACAGAAGAUUAAGAUCAAGAACCAAUUACGCAGGACAGAACAAACUGAUAGGGAUGAUUAUAAUUUUCAGAAUUUUUGGUUGAGAUAUUGCUGAUUUUUGAUGUUUUGCUUUUUUCAGAGUUAAGAAAACCUUUUUCUCUAUUCUCUUGAAGAACUAUGACUUACAGCAAUUUAUAAACAAAAUUGAAACAUUUGUCUUUUCCUCCCUUUCUGAGCCCUCCAAAACAUAAAAACCCCUGAAGUGUAAGUAUUCUUAUUCUUGUGGCAAUAUAGUUGUUUGCGUAAGUCCAAUAAGAAUCUGUUCUUCUUUUAACAGGACACAAUUGGAAACACUGGUUAUAUUACCAAGGCUUUGACUGGAACAUCAUGUUUGAAAAAACAUAUGGGCUUGGAUAUAAUAAAACAGCUUUUGAGGAAUGAAGGUUGACAUUCUGGAAUAAAGCCACUUGGAAAUAUUGGCCUGGUACUGUGUUUAUGGGUUCUGUAACCUGAAAAACUUCUUAUUAAAUACCUGGUUACUUAGGUACAUGAUACAGGCCUAACUUCAGGAGCCCACCAGCAUUACUGCUUUAUUAAAAGACUGGUUCAAUGAGAUGAAACGACUUACACCCCAUUUCAGCAGGAAGUAGCUAGAUUCGUCGCCGCCCCAAAUCCCUCAAGAUUGAAGGAUGGACAUAAAAUAGGGGGGAGUUGAUACCAACCCUGCUAUCAGUUUCCCCACAUUAAACCCAGCAUAUAUAGGGUUAAAACCAAAACACGCAUUCCCUGCUUACUCUCUGGCUUCCUGGCUCCAAAAUCCACUAUCCUCCAUGGAGACAGACACCGUCAAGGACAAGCACCUGGACUAUCUCCUCCCGCAAAGAGAUAGAGGCUGGUGGGAAAGCUGCUGAUCAGCAAGGUCAUGGGCUGCCUCCUCUCUGCAAGUGUCUCAAGGCCAAAGACAGGCUGGUGGGAAAGCUCUGACCAGCAAGGCCAUAUGCUCCCCCUCCCCUACCUAAAACCCCAAAUAAAAACCCUUCCUUUUAGCUUUUUGGGGAUUUUGGGAUUUCAGCGUUAGCUGCCCUCUCUCCUUGCUCAGUGCUGUGCAAAAAUAAAAUUCCUACUUUCUUCC
rnacentral:lncRNA from 1 species